rnacentral:piRNA from 1 species
UUAUACGUCUUUAAAUGCUCAUUUAAAAA